UACGUAGGGUCCAAGCGUUAUCCGGAAUCACUGGGCGUAAAGCGUGCGUAGGCGGGCGAGUAAGUGCGAUGCGAAAUCCUGUGGCUCAACCAUAUGGACUGUAUCGCAUACUGCUCAUCUUGAGGACGGCAGAGGCAAGUGGAACUGGCGGUGUAGCAGUGAAAUGCGUAGAUAUCGCCAAGAACACCAAAUGGCGAAGGCAGCUUGCUGGGCCGACCCUGACGCUGAGGCACGAA
rnacentral:rRNA from 1 species